CAAAUUAUACUUCUGCAUUUAACGCGCCUCUUCGAAUUGUUUAGCCAUAUUUCUUUCUCCAUGUAUCACAUGUUGCCGAAGAACUCCCCUACGUCGUUCGAUUCCCCUUCAUCAUUAUCAGCGGACGAUGGUCGUUUGGUUCGUUGUUUUAACUAUUCUUCCACACAGAUGGUAUUCGCUGGGCACCAUAGACCAGGCAAACGGCGGGGACCACUGGGUCCAGUUGUUGAUAGAUUGUAGUGAGUUGGCGGGAUUCGAAGAAUAAAGUCGAUUGUCGGGUGUAUGUCAUGCGCCACAUGGGGACGUACGUAAGCAGGGGUGCCCAAAUGGGAGUGUGGCAUUACCAAAUGUGACAAUUCUAAGCUGCACCAGCUCAGGUUACAUUACAUGAAGGAAAUUGCGAUCUCUUAAUUCAAUCUUCAUAGAAGUAGCAACCUAGUUCGGGUGUUUCAGUUUAUUUCUACUUCGCUGGCUGCUAUUUAGUGUUGCAUUCCAGAUUAUGGAUUCUUUAUUAUCAAUUCAUUUUUUGGGAGAACUAUAUUGAUUCUGGGUUAUGCUUUUUGAUGACGUAACUUGUUUACUUUUUGACAGUUACACUACCAUUCUACCUACUGUAACUCAUUAGGUGUUAUGGUGCUAUAUUUUUGGACCUAUGCUAUUUCUCUUUCUUUUUGUUCAA